rnacentral:rRNA from 1 species
AACUUUGAGAAAAAAAAGAUAUGUAAAAAUUAAUUUUUAAUUUUUUCCAAAUAAGACCCGAAACCACGCCGAAUUCGAGUUGUCUAAAAAUAUCUAACUCCGUGUACUAAUCAAAUUGGGAGACGUAGUCUUUUUCAAAGUU